rnacentral:rRNA from 1 species
CCUACGGGUGGCAGCAGUGGGGAAUAUUGCACAAUGGGGGAAACCCUGAUGCAGCGACGCCGCGUGAGUGAAGAAGUAUUUCGGUAUGUAAAGCUCUAUCAGCAGGGAAGAAAAUGACGUUACCUGAUUAAGAAGCCCCGUCUAACUACGUUCCAGCAGCCGCGGUAAUACGUAGGGGGCAAGCGUUAUCCGGAUUUACUGGGUGUAAAGGGAGCGUAGACGGCAACACAAGUCUGGAGUGAAAUGCCGGGGCUUAACCCCGGAAUUGCAUUGGAAACUGUGGAGCUAGAGUGCACGAAAGGCAAGUGGAAUUCCUCGUGUAGCGGUGAAAUGCGUAGAUAUGAGGAGGAACACCAGUGGCGAAGGCGGCUUACUGGAGUGUAACUGACGUUGAGGCUCGAAAGCGUGGGGAGCGAACAGGAUUAGAUACCCGAGUAGUC